GGCCUCUACUGGCUUUAUAUUAUCUCUGUGCUGUGCUGAGAGAUAUUGCAUGGGAGGAAUAACAACUGCUCUGAUGGCAUUUGCUGGGAUCCCCUUGACGGUUGAGCAGGCAAGCUGGUGCUCCCAGUGGGCUGGCCUGUGUUUCUUUGAGUAAAUCUACGGGAAGAUACAGGGCUGAAAACAAAGACAUCCAAACCUUGAGCCAUUUAGAAGAGGAAGAAGCCAAAAUCUGUGCCAGAGGUUUGACUGCUGGGUUUACUCAUGGCUUCAGGUCAGGAUGGGCACUGCUAGAUAAUGAAGGCAAGAUCGGUUUCGUGGGGCUUGCUCUAUUGGG